GUUUUAUUUCAAAGCUAAAUUAAGACUGCUGUUUCUUGUUGUUGUUCUUUCCUUCUCAUUCUGGCUUCUUUUCUUUGUCUCUCUCCGGGGGUAUUGUUGCUCUUUGAUGGUUAAUUAACCAGAAACCAGAAGACUAAUUGAAAGAUAGAUAGGGUGGGCGAAAGGCGUGAACCUGAAGAAGAAUUUGAUUUUUUUUUUAAUGAUGAUAAUGAUUGAGAAAUGAAGAGUGAUUUUUCAUUUUAGAAGCUGAUAAAUGUUGGUUGAACAUUCUUGUCAAAUAAGAGAAAUUUCCAUGUGGUGGAUUGUAUGAAAAAACCCUGUUUCGUAGAAAGGGGGAAAACCCCAUUUGAGAGUAUGCAGAGAACAUUCAUUUGAUAAAAAGAAAGUUUUUUGUUUGUUUUUCUUUGGGUUUUUAUUUUGGGUGUUAGUGUUUGAUAAUGUCUUCUAAUACUCCAUCAGAGAUGCAAGAACCGAGCAUCGAUACGGAUAAGUUGAGUUAUGAAAUCUUUUCUAUACUGGAAAGCAAAUUUUUGUUUGGGUACGAUGACAAUCAGAAGCUAUGGAUUCCCAAACCGAUCUCUCCCCCGGCUUCGGAACCGAUGGUUCAACCGGGUGACGAGAAUUCCUUCCCAGCUAUAAAGAACCAGAGGGGUAAAAUCUGUAUUUUGAGUAUUGAUAGCGGUGGCAUGAAAGGAAUUCUUUGCGGGAAAGCGUUGGCUUAUCUUGAAAAAGCCUUGAAAUCCAAGUCGGGUAAUCCAAACGCUCGAGUCGCCGAUUAUUUCGACGUCGCCGCGGGUUCAAGUGUUGGUGGUAUCUUCACCGCCAUGCUUUUUGCCACCAGAGAUAACAACCAACCGAUUUUCACCGCCGAGGAGACGUGGCGGUUCCUUGCUGAUAAUGGGAAGAGGAUCUACCGGUCGGGUGCUGUUAAAAACGGCGGUAUUCUAAAGAAGAUUUUGAAAAACGGUUCGACCGGGUCAAGUUCGAACGGUAUGGAGAAGGCCAUGAAGGAGGCUUUCACGGCGGGUAGAAGGAGUUUGACGUUGAAAGAUACACUAAAGCCGGUUUUGAUUCCGUGUUAUGAUCUUUCCAGUACGGCGCCUUUUUUGUUUUCGAGGGCCGAUGCUUUGGAGACGGAUAGUUUCGACUUUCCAUUAUGGGAGGUUUGUCGGGCAACCUCUGCUGAACCGGGCUUAUCCGGGCCGGUAUUGAUGCAAUCCGUUGACGGUCAAACCAAGUGUGUGGCGGUCGAUGGUGGGUUGGCAAUGAGCAACCCGACCGUUGCAGCCAUUACGCAUGUGUUACAUAAUAAACAGGAGUUUCCUUUCGUUAGAGGGGUUGAGGAUCUGUUGGUGCUGUCAUUGGGGACGGGUCAGCUCCUUGAGGUUAGCUAUGAAUAUGAGCAAGUCAAGACUUGGAGGCUCAAGGAUUGGGCUAAACCGAUGGCUCGUAUAUCCGGUGACGGUUCAGCCGACUCGGUGGAUCAAACCGUCGCCAUGGCCUUUCAACAAUGCAGAAGCAGUAAUUACGUAAGAAUUCAGGAGUAUUUAGAGGUCAUCUCAUUGCACGUUGCUCUAUAUGAUGGCAAAUGGGUCCGGUUUAGGCAGGUGUGGUCCAAAUGUAGAUACAGACCCCAGCCCCAGCAAUGUUAAGUUGCUGAUGGAGAUAGGUGAGGAAAUGCUGAAGCAAAAAAACGUUGAAUCAAUUCUGUUUGGAGGUAAAAGGAUUAGUGAAGAAAGUAAUAUGGAGAAAUUAGAUUGGUUUGCCGGUGAACUUGUUUUGGAACAUCAGAGGAGGAGUUGCAGAAUUGCUCCCACUGUUGCUUUCAAGCAACCCAGCCCUAAGAUCAACUAGGUUUCUCUCUCAACCAACACAGUUUGUACCAUUUCUUGCAACCCAAAAGCAACUGACACAGGAAGAAGAAGAAGAAGAAGAAGAAGAAAGAUAGCAGCUUUUAAUGAAACCAUGGAAUUGAAUUAAAGAAGAAAAAACACAUUAAAAAGGGGGUUUCAAAGAUAGUUUGGAUGAUGUUGUCCACUCCCAUCCUAUUUUUUCUCCCAAUCAAAACCUUCAACAGUUGUUAAAACUAGAAGCAAUGGUGUGAAACUAAAUUGCAAAAAAUUAUAUAUUCCCUACUUUCCUUUAUGAAUUGUUGUAUAUUCUCAAGGGGCAAAAAUAUGGAGGUGGAUUAUCUUGUCUUGUAAUCAAAAGCCAUGAAUAUAAGCCAAAGUUCUUUACUAGACAUGGCAAUCUAUGUAUUUACUA